CAGGAUGAACGCUAGCUACAGGCUUAACACAUGCAAGUCGAGGGGCAGCGGGAUUGAAGCUUGCUUCAAUUGCCGGCGACCGGCGCACGGGUGAGUAACGCGUAUCCAACCUUCCGUACACUCAGGGAUAGCCUUUCGAAAGAAAGAUUAAUACCUGAUGGUAUGAUGAGAUUGCAUGAUAGCAUCAUUAAAGAUUUAUCGGUGUACGAUGGGGAUGCGUUCCAUUAGGUAGUAGGCGGGGUAACGGCCCACCUAGCCAACGAUGGAUAGGGGUUCUGAGAGGAAGGUCCCCCACAUUGGAACUGAGACACGGUCCAAACUCCUACGGGAGGCAGCAGUGAGGAAUAUUGGUCAAUGGACGAGAGUCUGAACCAGCCAAGUAGCGUGAAGGAUGAAGGUCCUACGGAUUGUAAACUUCUUUUAUAAGGGAAUAAACCCUCCCACGUGUGGGAGCUUGUAUGUACCUUAUGAAUAAGCAUCGGCUAACUCCGUGCCAGCAGCCGCGGUAAUACGGAGGAUGCGAGCGUUAUCCGGAUUUAUUGGGUUUAAAGGGAGCGCAGACGGGUCGUUAAGUCAGCUGUGAAAGUUUGGGGCUCAACCUUAAAAUUGCAGUUGAUACUGGCGUCCUUGAGUGCGGUUGAGGUGUGCGGAAUUCGUGGUGUAGCGGUGAAAUGCUUAGAUAUCACGAAGAACUCCGAUUGCGAAGGCAGCACACUAAUCCGUAACUGACGUUCAUGCUCGAAAGUGUGGGUAUCAAACAGGAUUAGAUACCCUGGUAGUCCACACGGUAAACGAUGGAUACUCGCUGUUGGCGAUAUACUGUCAGCGGCUUAGCGAAAGCGUUAAGUAUCCCACCUGGGGAGUACGCCGGCAACGGUGAAACUCAAAGGAAUUGACG
rnacentral:rRNA from 1 species